rnacentral:rRNA from 1 species
UACAGAGGGGGCAAGCGUUAUUCGGAAUUAUUGGGCGUAAAGGGCGCGUAGGCGGCUUCGCAAGUGGAAGGUGAAAUCCCUCGGCUUAACCGAGGAACUGCCCUCCAAACUGCGUGGCUUGAGUCCGGGAGAGGUGAGUGGAAUUCCCAGUGUAGCGGUGAAAUGCGUAGAUAUUGGGAGGAACACCAGUGGCGAAGGCGGCUCACUGGACCGGAACUGACGCUGAGACGCGAAAGCGUGGGGAGCGAACAGG